rnacentral:tRNA from 1 species
GGGCCAUAGCUCAGUGGUAGAGCAUCUGCCUUGCAAGCAGGAGGUCCCAGGUUCAAUCCCCAGCAUCUCCA